UAGAUGGCAAGUUGAUCUAGAAUAAUAACUACUGCACAGUAUGAUAGAUACUGGAUCAGAAUUCAGAAAAGGAAGAAAGACAAAUUUUCUUAUAUAUUGAUUGAGUAUAAACAAAAAAUUCCCAGGAAAUAUAAUCUGACUGACCUAUCAUAGAAUUAGUAAUGAAUAACAACUCAAGCAUUCCCAUUAAAGCAAAUUCAGCUCAAUCUCAAAUAUGUAUCUUUCGUAAUGGAAUAUUUACAGUGACACUUCUAGAGUUUUGGGUACAAGAUGUAGAACCAAACAAGUAAAGCAAGUACUAAGUAAUGUACAGUUUCAAACAACCAGACAAGUACCACCAACAAGGGUUGGAUCUAACAUAAGGGACUUUUCUCCCAUGAUGUGUAACAAACUAAUAUUGGAAUCUCCAUUAGAAGAGACAUCCUUGUCCACAUCUGUAUCUGAAGUGUCUCGAACAAAAUUACCUCGAUGGAGAGAGUUCAGCGACUUGUCUCAGUUUCAGGAUGUGUGAUGAAUAAUGUUUUGUCAAACCCAUCCGGCAAUAGCCGCCUCGCUUCCAUCUCGCUACACAGCGACAAUGCCAACUGGCUUUUCCCACACCUGCCAAGUCCAUGACAGAGCUCAGAUAACAUGCUGGAAUCUGGACUCAACAAUCUGCCCAGCAUGUCCCUCAAAACCUGCACAGCCCCAUCAAAGUCCUCAUUCUUGCAAAAAGCAGAUAUCAGCAUCUGAAAAGUGUGCUCAUUUGGAUUACAACCACUCCUCACCAUGCUCCUAUAAAUAAGAAAGGCACGCUCAGAAUUGUUCCUCACACACUGCCCAGUAAUAAGAGCAGAAAAAGUACUCGCAUUGGGAACCAAGUUCUCUUUAUCAAGCUCCUUCACAAACCCUGCAGCCUUCUUUGUCUUCCCCUCCUUACACAGCCCCAAAAUCAACGCAUUAUAAGUUAAUAUAUCAGCCUUAACCCCAUUCCUCACCAUCUCCUCAUAAACCCUCCCACCCAUUUCACUGUCUCCAACCUCGCCAUACCCAUGCAACAAAGUAUUGUAAGUCACAACAUUGGGAGCCACAUUGGCAACCUUCAUCUCACGGAAAACCCUGUUCGCCUCAUGCAACUUCCUCUCCUUACAAAACCCAUUAAUCAGAGUGUUAAAAGUAACCACAUUCGCCUGCACUCCACUAUCCCCCAUCAAAGCCUUAACCUUUAACGCCAACCCAAACAGCCCCUUGUUACAAUACCCCGAAAUCAAAGUAUUGAAAGACACAACAGUAGGACUCAAGCCCAUGUCCCUCAUCUUCUGGAAAAUCUCAAACCCCUUCUGCACCUCCCCCAGCAUGCAAUGAGCACGAACAACCAUGUUGAGAGUGUACACAUUAGGCGAAACGUAAGAGCGACGCAUCUCCCGGUAAAACGACAGAGCAAUAUCAGCUCUGCGGAGGCGAAGCAGAGAACUCAAAAACGCGUUGCAGGAUUCAACAGUGAGGGAGAAGCCGUGCUGCUUCAUUAGGGUAUAGACGAGGGUGGCGCUGCGGAAUUUACUGGCGUGGGCGAGGGUUUUAAAGACGGCGUCGAAGACGAGAGGGGAAGCAUUGCAGAGAGGGUAGGAGUGUAGGAGAGAGUGGAAGAGGGUGUGGGGAGGGUUUGAAGAGAGGAUUUUUGUGAGGAUGGUUUGAAUGGUUUUGAAUUGGCGAUGCUUGGCGAGGGUGUGGAGGAGGAAAGAGAGGGUUUCGAGGGUGUGCGUUGAUGGGUGGUGAUGGAGGAGCCAUUGGGAGAGUUUGAGGGACAAAACGUGGUCGUCUUGGAGGUUGAGGAGGAGGUGUUUGAGACGGAACGGCGUGAGAACUGGGCACAAAGGGUGAAGCUUUUCCCAGUGGGAGUUGAUGACGUGACUGUAAGCGACAUUGAUGAAGUCCAGAUCCUGGCCUCGAGGUUCGGGAAGGGUUCGGUGAGGUAUCGGAAGCAGUUUUCUGUGGGUUGCUUGGUUUAUCAGAGUGCAGAAUCCACGAUUUCGCAUUCUUCACCUUCUUCCACACUCUCGUGGGUUAUCGCAGAACCAGAAUUUUUGAAUUUCACCUUCUCCCUUCCAUUUACGUUUAUACCCUUACACGUUGUCAAAAUAACGUUUUUGUAGAUGAAACUGCCCUAACUGACCACACUCUCUCCCAAAGCUCUUCUGGGUCGCCAACCGAGUGAACCGGAGAUCGGAAGUGGAGGAUGGCGACGGCGCCGGGAAACCAAAUGAUGGAGGGAGGACCGCCGCCGCUACCGGGGACCGAUAUGACCGGGAUAUGCUUCCGAGACCAGCUCUGGCUGAACAGCUUCCCUCUCGAUCGCAACCUUGUCUUCGAUUACUUCGCGCUGUCACCUUUCUACGAUUGGACUUGCAACAACGAGCAACUCCGUAUGCGCUCCGUUCACCCCCUCGACCUCUCUCAACUCUCGUAUGUAAAACCCUAAUUUCCUUCUCCUUUGUUCUUUUCGUUACUCUUUUAGGGUUUCGUGGAUUGUAAUAAUAGUUGUGGUCUUCAGGAAAAUGACGGGGACGGAGUAUAUGCUCAGCGAAGUUAUGGAGCCGCACCUGUUUGUUAUUCGCAAGCAGAAGAGAGAUAGCCCCGACAAAGUUACGCCCAUGCUCGCCUACUACGUCCUUGAUGGUUCUAUUUACCAGGCUCCGCAACUCUGCAAUGUUUUUGCUGCCAGAAUUGUGAGUUCUUGCUUCCUCUAUGUGUGUUGCAUGUUUCUGUUGUUUUUAGGCUAAGGAGGAUUCUUUGCUGUGAAUAACUUGCUUGCAUGAGAAUGAAGAGAAAUGGAUGUUUGUUGUGAUCGUGUGUGAUGUUGAACAGAGGAGGAGCAUGUUGAAGGAGAGAUUGUUGUAUUUACCAAUAGAAACUUCAGAGAUAUUUUUUUGUUCUGUGGGGAUUUAAAAUUUUCUUUUCCUUUUUGUGCAGGAUGUUUAAUUAAGAUUUAUCGUGUUAUUGUUUCACUACAAUCGUGAUUUAUCUAGGGUUUGGUUAUUACUUUGGGUUUUGGUUUCACUUUAUGUUGUUUACACUUUUUGCAUAAUUGGUGAUUUCUUUUUUCUGAGAAUAUCUGAACAUAAACCAGAGGAGAUCUCCACCAAGAGGAGUAUUUGAUUUGCCCAGAGCAGUAAAAAAUUCGUGGUUUUUUGUUAAUCAAUGGAGUCCUAUAUCAUUGUGAAAAUUAGAGAAAAGCCUCUUCAGUCUUGAAACAUAACAUUUUGUUUUCUGUUCGAAACUGUAUUAGUUUUAUCCGUCAGGUUUGGUGUUUUGAACAGGCAGCACUACAGUUUUAUACUUAAAAGGCCUUAUUCUACAAUUUUAGUGCAGUUUACUAGUUUUUCUAUUAGUUAGUUUUUUUUCUUUUUUUAUUAUGGGAGAGAUUUGGUGUCUAAUACUGGUUUUGUGAUUGAUCUUGCAGGGAAGAGCCCUUUAUUACAUACAAAAGGCAUUUACUACAGCUGCCUCAAAGUUGGAGAAGAUUGGAUAUGGUAAGUGCAGAUUAUGGGUUUUUUUCUUGUGGGAGAUUGUUGGUCACAGUUCUGGAUAGUGUUUGAAAAUGUCUUGUUAUUAAAGUUUUACAGCAGUAGUGAAGAGAAGUACAUACCCAUUUUAUUCCCCUUGUGUUCUUCCUGCUUGUAAGACAUGUCUUGGGAAGUUCUUAGUCAUAGAAUUGUUACAUUUCAUACUGCUCUACACAUUUACUGAUUUGGGAUUCUUCUAGCUGCUUCAGUGGAUUCUGAAAAUGAGACUGCAUUAGUGGAGUCAAAGACUGCUAAGGAGACCAUUGAUAUAAAGGAAGUUAAGCGUGUGGAUCAUAUUCUUGCAUCCUUGCAACGCAAGGUGGGUUGAAAAAGUGCAUGUUUCCUUAUGAAAAAAUUAUGUACAGAACUAUUAAAAUUACUACUAAUAUGUAUAAUAAAGGAAGGAUCAUAUUAUAUUAUUAAAGCAUGGGGGCUGUGGACAAGUGCCAUCUAUAUAAUUUUCCUAAUUCUACUCAAAAGGAACAUGAAAUUCUUUGUUUCCUUCCAUAGCAAUGAGAUUGGAUCCAGUUAUAAGAAAAAUAAAAUGCUUGACACUUGAUAAUUUACUUGCAGGAUCUAAAACUAUUUUUUACCUGUUUUUUGUUGUCUUGUCAUAUAAGAGUUCUGUUCUUAUGUGAUGCACACAUAAGAGGUUUUGACUGACAUGGCCAGGUUCCAAAUGAACUUAUUAAUGGAUAAAUUUGAACUACUAACACUAUUGGAAAUUUACCUCAUUCUGCUCUCAAUUUUUUUGUGGCUCUCAUGCUUUAUUAUUGGUGAGAAAUGAGUAUUAACUUGCUACUGCUUGCUGCUGCCUGCUGCAGUUAC
rnacentral:lncRNA from 1 species